rnacentral:snRNA from 1 species
AUACUUACCUGGCAGGGGAGAUACCAUGAUCACAAAGGUGGUUUUCCCAGGGCGAGGCUUAUCCAUUGCACUCCUGAUGUGCUGACCCCUGUGAUUUCCCCAAAUGUGGGAAACUCGACUGCAUAAUUUGUGGUAGUGGGGGACUGCGUUCGAGCUAAA